rnacentral:lncRNA from 1 species
CCAGUGACCACCUGUAGGGAUGACUGACCUCCCAGAAGGCUGAGAUGCUCCAAAAAGGGGAGCCUGGGGGCCCUGUGGCACACGGGCAGUGACAGCAAGGAAAGGAGGGGAUGUCUGCUGCAGUCUCGGUGUACCACCCGGAGCUGGCCUGCCUGCCACCGGUGACCCUGAACAGCCAGUCACACAGCCCCACAGCUCACAGACUUUUCACAUACUGUGUGAUUUCAAAUAACAUACACUUAAAAAUUUGAUUGCUUGGUUGCAGCCCUGGAAUUUUCAGCGUAAAGAGCGAACUCCAUCACACGUGCUUGUGCAAAGCACACCAAUCACCAACGGUGAACCUGCUACACCUGUGUUUGCCCAUGACGACAGGGCUGCAGGUGUCCACUGUUUCCCGACCUUGCUGCCAGUCCCAAGAGCCACCAUGGUUUCCUAUCAGUCUCGUGAGUCUCUCUCUUUCCACUGUUGUCCCCUGUCCUACCUCACAUCAGCAAUCAGAAAGCUCCUGGCAGGACAUAAACUCUGUCCUGCCUCUGUUCACAGGCCUCAGUGGCUCUGGUCAACCUCGAAGUAAAAGCUGUGCUCCUCACAGUGGCUGUGGGGUCUGGGCCACGCACAAAGCCCUCACCACACACCAGCUGUAGUCCACCUGCUCCACCGUACCCCCUACCACAGACCACCCCACUGACCCCCGCCCUCCUCUCUGAAGUCGGCCCCUGGUCCUCGUGUUCCUCACCAGCCCCAUCUGGCCCUGGUCCUCGCACUCUGUAUCCGGAAGGCUCUUCCCAGGUACCACAGGGCUCCCACGCACUCUCACUGCUUGAAUCUCCCCUCACCGGCGGGCUGUCUGGACUACCCACGUAAACACGGCCAUCUCACAUCUGUGACCCUUGACCCUGUUUGCUUUCCCGGUGAAAUUUACCACCAUUGAUGUUAUUUCUCAUAUCACAUUCAUACGUUGAAACUGUCAGUCAGCACAGUAGAAAUAAAGAUCAACCACAAGACAAAAGCAA